AUCAACGCUGGCGGCGUGCCUAACACAUGCAAGUCGAACGCGGUUACCCCGCAAGGGGUAACUGAGUGGCCGAACGGGUGAGUAACACGUGGGUGACCUACCUUCGAGUGGGGGAUAACGUCCCGAAAGGGACGCUAAUACCGCAUAACAUCCUGCCUUUGAACAGGCGGAGAUCAAAGCCGGGGAUCGCAAGACCUGGCGCUUGAUGAGGGGCCCGCGCCUGAUUAGCUAGUUGGUGAGGUAAUGGCCCACCAAGGCUACGAUCAGUAUCCGGCCUGAGAGGGCGGACGGACACACUGGGACUGAGACACGGCCCAGACUCCUACGGGAGGCAGCAGUGGGGAAUUGUUCGCAAUGGGCGCAAGCCUGACGACGCAACGCCGCGUGGAGGAUGAAGGUCUUCGGAUUGUAAACUCCUGUUGCUCGGGACGAAAAGCUCCGACCUAACACGUCGGAGUCUGACGGUACCGAGUGAGGAAGCCCCGGCUAACUUCGUGCCAGCAGCCGCGGUAAUACGAAGGGGGCAAGCGUUGUUCGGAAUUAUUGGGCGUAAAGGGCGCGUAGGCGGUUCGGCAAGUCUCUAGUGAAAUCUCUGGGCUCAACUCAGAGUCUGCUGGGGAAACUGCCGGGCUUGAGUGUGGGAGAGGAGAGUGGAAUUCCCGGUGUAGCGGUGAAAUGCGUAGAUAUCGGGAGGAGCACCUGUGGCGAAAGCGGCUCUCUGGACCACAACUGACGCUGAUGCGCGAAAGCUGGGGGAGCAAACAGGAUUAGAUACCCUGGUAGUCCUAGCCCUAAACGAUGAUCGCUUGGUGUGGUGGGUACCCAAUCCCACUGUGCCGCAGCUAACGCGAUAAGCGAUCCGCCUGGGGAGUACGGUCGCAAGGCUGAAACUCAAGGGAAUUGACGGGGGCCCGCACAAGCGGUGGAGCAUGUGGUUCAAUUCGACGCAACGCGAAGAACCUUACCUGGGCUCGAAGCGUAGUGGACCGGGGUGGAAACAUCCCUUUCUCGCAAGAGACUGCUACGUAGGUGCUGCAUGGCUGUCGUCAGCUCGUGUCGUGAGAUGUUGGGUUAAGUCCCGCAACGAGCGCAACCCUUAUUGCCAGUUGCUAACGCGUAAAGGCGAGCACUCUGGCGAAACUGCCCCGGAUAACGGGGAGGAAGGUGGGGAUGACGUCAAGUCCUCAUGGCCUUUAUGUCCAGGGCUACACACGUGCUACAAUGGUCGGUACAACUGUCGCAAACCCGCGAGGGGGAGCUAAUCGGAAAAAGCCGGCCUCAGUUCGGAUUGGAGUCUGCAACUCGACUCCAUGAAGCUGGAAUCGCUAGUAAUCGCGGAUCAGAACGCCGCGGUGAAUACGUUCCCGGGCCUUGUACCACACGCCCGUCACAUCACGAAAGUGGGUCGUACUAGAAGUCGGUGGGCUAACCGCAAGGAGGCAGCCGCCCAAGGUAUGAUUCAUGGUUGGGGUG
rnacentral:rRNA from 1 species